AUGAUUUUGAAUUACACAAAUUCCCACAAACCCAAACCAAAAACAAACCCUCUUAGUCUCCUCUUUCCUACUCCACAAUACCAUUAUCCUUCUCUUUAUCACCAACCAAAACACAAACACCAAAUUGCCUCAACACAACAAUCAACUAAAAGAAAAGAUUCCCAGCCAUUUGAAUCUUCAACCAAAAUCAAUCUGACUAUAAAACACCACCGUUUCACUUGUACCCUUCAUUCGCUCCUAACCAUGAUACAAUACAACACAACCUUUUCAGCACAAACAGCAACCUCAAUCCCUUCCAAAUUUGGCAACAAACUCAAAAAAAAAUGA